rnacentral:rRNA from 1 species
UACGUAGGGUGCGAGCGUUGUCCGGAAUUAUUGGGCGUAAAGGGCUCGUAGGCGGUUUGUCGCGUCGGGAGUGAAAACCAGGUGCUUAACACCUGGCUUGCUUUCGAUACGGGCAGACUAGAGGUAUGCAGGGGAGAACGGAAUUCCUGGUGUAGCGGUGAAAUGCGCAGAUAUCAGGAGGAACACCGGUGGCGAAGGCGGGUCUCUGGGCCGAUACUGACGCUGAGGAGCGAAAGCGUGGGGAGCGAACAGG